AUAUUGUAAACCCAUCCAAAACGGAGACAGGCGCAGUGUGACAGGUCAGAGAAUCCAAUGGCAGAAGAAUAUGAACAGGCUGGUGCUUCAGAGUUUAUUAAAGACCGGCUUUACUUCGCCACCCUGCGUGUCAAGCCAAA